AUACCUUUCUCGGCCUUUUGGCUAAGAUCAAGUGUAGUAUCUGUUCUUAUCAGUUUAAUAUCUGAUACGUGGGUCAUCGACUCGCACGAUAUUAAAUUAAUUUUUUAGGGGAAAAGGCUUGUUGCUUGCUGUCUUGGCCUUUGUGUGUCGUCCAGGUUUUGCACUAUUGCUUGGGCCAGGCGCGCCCCAU